GGACUGACCACCCCUGAUUUAAAGAAAAAUAUUACUUCAACUCAGAUUAAAGGAUUUUUUUAAAAAGAUUUUCUAGGACCAACAGAGCAAAGGACAAGCUGCUUUCAUCAGAGCGACAGUGAGUCUUUCAAAAUAAGUCCGGUUCACAUUUCAGACGUUAAACAACUUCCAAGUCAAAGACCCCUUGCUUGAUGUACUCGUAUCAGAUGCCCUACCACUCCCAGUGUGAGCAACCGAUUCGUCCAAAAUACCCUCCAACACACCCAUGAGAUCAGACAGGAGACUCAGUCACACAGCGAUGAGAUCAUGAUGUCCAAAGGGAGACACACAACCUGUGCCAGCCCAGGCUGCAGGGUAGUAGGUACACCACUCCACAGUUUGAUGCUGUUUGUUACACCGCCUGCAGUCACAGGCCUCACUGAGGGCCAAAGGUCUGGAUUUGGAAACAGUUCCUGAAGCCAUGGUGGGGUUCACUGGAAACACCAUAAGCACUUAUUAUCUUACCUGUAGGCAGCUCUUGGUAAAGCAUCAGUUUGGAGAAAUUCAGUUUAAUCCUGACAAGACUGACCAAAACUGAGACAAGACCAAAGUGGAUUACUGCUGCCUUAAAACAACUCUUUUCUGAAAGAUUUUAGAGCCGUUCAUGCAAAAAGUAUUUUAUAAACUUUUACGUUACUGUCAAGUUAUAUUACACACUAUUUUACACUUGUAUAAUGAUACGUUUAUGUUGGUUUGUUCUUUUUCUGUAUCUUUCAAUCCUGGUGUUUAGUUCUGUAAUUCCUGAGUCAAACGGACAGAUUUUACAAAGACUGACCUCACCCGUGAUGAUAAAAACUAAUAGAUAUAACAGGUUUGGUCCUAAAGUGUGUGGUGUAGAGCUACAUGUCAAAGACAACACAUCUCAACAAAGAGAUUUCACUCAUAAACAUUUAAAUGUCUCACAAGACCUGUUGAGAUCAAACGAGACCUCAGAGUAAAUAAACAAGGAAGAAGCAAUGGUGAUAAUAUGUGGACUAUUUUUAACAGAGAAAUAAAAAGACACGUCAGACCCCCA